GUCUAUGGCGGCUUUGCGUGGGGCACCUUCGGGUGCGCCGGUUUUGGCUAAGUCCCGGUCUGCUAACCCGCGUCAAAGUCGCCACCCUC
rnacentral:antisense_RNA from 2 species